CCUUUUCUUUUCAGAUCCCUACCAGUUAAUAAUCAUCAUCAUCAUCUCAUUACUCAUCCAUCUCUAAUAAAAGUCUUCUCUCUCUCUCUCUCAGCAUAAUAAUCCAUCACAUAUAAUUCUGUGUUCAAGUUUGCAGUCACUGGCAUAGCUUUUUGGGUUCCUUCUCAAAGCAACAAAAAAAGAAGCCAAUCAUAUCAUAAGAAAUUUCAAAGCAUGGACACUAAAACUACUUUUCCAUUGCAAAACAGAGCCCACUGAUUGAAUCAAGAAGACAAAGAAGUUGCAGAGAUUUGUAGUUAGCAAU
rnacentral:misc_RNA from 1 species